rnacentral:rRNA from 1 species
UACGGAGGGUGCUAGCGUUGUUCGGAAUCACUGGGCGUAAAGCGCGUGUAGGCGGCCCGGUAAGUCCGUUGUGAAAGUCAAAGGCUCAACCUUUGAACGCCGAUGGAUACUGCCGGGCUAGAGUCCGGAAGAGGCGAGUGGAAUUCCUGGUGUAGCGGUGGAAUGCGCAGAUAUCAGGAGGAACACCGAUGGCGAAGGCAGGUCUCUGGGCCACUACUGACGCUGAGAAGCGAAAGCAUGGGGAGCGAACAGG